UAUAAUUUAACAGAUGCUGCAAUCAAAGUCAUUGCAUCGCUCCUUGGCCCCGGGGAGGCAGUAUAAUACUAUGCAGUCAUGAAAACACCAACGAAGAAGAAAAGACGUCAUCUUCGACAACUACUGGACCAGCGCCCUCGGCAAGCAGUGGUGAAGAAAUCCGUUUUUUAUGGUUUUGAAGAUGGG